ACAGCGUGUCCAGUCCGUGGGUCG
rnacentral:snRNA from 1 species